AGUGCGAUAUGAUGAUUACUUUCAGAGUGCUUCCUUGACGUACAACAUCUACAAUAUCACCAAACUGUCCAUUUCGUGUAACUAUAUCAGAGUUCAGAGCGAUAAAAUGUCUUACACUCUAAAGAAAGUUAAAAGCUUCUAUGACUUGCUUCCUGCAAAGUGGAAAGCCCCUGUACCGAUUUGCCAGAAUGCAGCCCCGGAGCAAACCGGAGAAAUGACUGCUAUGCGCCGAUGGAAGAACAAGAAGACGUUUAAAAUUCCUUAAAAAGUCACGUGAUCUACGAACUUGUCUAAAAGUGAAAUCAUGCUUUAGAUAAAAUACGAAACAAUUAUUAUAAUGGAAGCGAAAUU
rnacentral:sRNA from 1 species